GCUUGUCUCAAAGAUUAAGCCAUGCAUGUCUAAGUAUAAACUGCUUAUACUGUGAAACUGCGAAUGGCUCAUUAAAUCAGUUAUAGUUUAUUUGAUGGUACCUACUACUCGGAUAACCGUAGUAAUUCUAGAGCUAAUACAUGCACAAAAUCCCGACUUACGAAGGGAUGUAUUUAUUAGAUACAAACCAACAUCGUGGUGAUUCAUAAUAACUUUGCGAAUCGUAUGCCUCACGGCGACGAUGAAUCAUUCAAAUUUCUGCCCUAUCAACUUUCAACCGUAAGGUAGUGGCCUACGGUGGUGGUAACGGGUGACGGAGGAUUAGGGUUCGAUUCCGGAGAGGGAGCCUGAGAAACGGCUACCACAUCCAAGGAAGGCAGCAGG
rnacentral:rRNA from 1 species